UACGUAGGGGGCAAGCGUUGUCCGGAUUUAUUGGGCGUAAAGGGCGCGCAGGCGGCUAUCCAAGUCAGGCGUGAAAGCCCCGGGCUUAACCUGGGAGGUGCGUCUGGGACUGGGUGGCUAGAGUUCGGGAGAGGAGAGUGGAAUUCCCAGUGUAGAGGUGAAAUUCGUAGAUAUUGGGAAGAACACCGGUGGCGAAGGCGGCUCUCUGGACCGAGACUGACGCUGAGGCGCGAAAGCGUGGGGAGCAAACAGG
rnacentral:rRNA from 1 species